GUUAAGCAGAAACCAACUCAUCUUUUUUAAGUUGAUAAGGAUUAACUUUCUCCUUGUGUUUCCCUGUUUGCAGGGACUUCUGGAAAGUUCAGGCUAAGUUUCUUGCUAAAUAACAUCAAUGAAAUCAACCUCAAUGAUGGUUAACUAUAAAGUGAAGGGGUGGUUGCAUUGAUCUUCUUCCCUUAGAAAAUUGCCACAUGAUUCCCAGUCACAUCAGUUUUGGCAAUAAAAUGGUACCUGAAGUCAGCUGCUAAAGAUUCUGAAGAUGACUCCUAGGAGCAAGUGAAGAUGUCUGCAGAGCCUUAUUUCUUUGUGGCCUCUUCAGCACUCUCCAGGAUCUCUGGUAAGCUACUAUUGGAUUGAACUCUGCUUAUUUUGCAAAUUGAGCUCCUUGAUUUUGUUUGUUCUAAUACUUCUAGAUAGGAAAUUGUGGUAUGAGAGAGUCCAGAUUUUUCAUGGUGAGAUUUAGUGGGCCACAACUUUUGGGUUUGUGGCCAACCUCGUCUACGAGGCAAAUGCCUUUGGGAGGUCCUUCCAGGUCUUUGGAACUGUGCACAGACAGCCAGAAACAGUAAAUCUGGUUGAAUUUGGCAGUAUUCUUUCAAGGGAAAAUAAUGGGUGUGCGUCAGUUAAAAUAAAGCAAGAUGGCAGCUGUUAGGGGGCUCACAAGGGGACUUAAGGUAGGUCCACAGCAUAAACUACUGGGGGACUUGAGGAAAUAAGUUAAGAAAUUCAGACUUUUUAGACCAAUAUCUCGUCAAAACCUAGGCAGGCACAAGUCAGACUAUUAAAAGCCAUUAUGGUGUCUGUCACUACAAAGAAAUCCAAAAGGAAUAACAGAUCUACUGCUAAUGGGAAUCUUGGAAGCCAAAGCUGAAAAAUUGGUGGGCACUGGUUGAGCACUUAACUACUGAUAGAGGGCUUGCCAUCUAACUCUAUGACCGCCGUGCUAGGAUACAUUGAUUACAAUAUAGAUUAGAUUGACACUAAGUCACCCACCAGACUCAAGAAAAUGUCUAUGCAACAAAGUACACUGUAAACCACCACAAAGUCACCAACCCAGAAGCACAUUGCUCUUA